UGGGGAAUUUUGGACAAUGGGGGAAACCCUGAUCCAGCCAUCCCGCGUGUGCGAUGAAGGCCUUCGGGUUGUAAAGCACUUUUGGCAGGAAAGAAACGUCAUGGGUUAAUACCCCGUGAAACUGACGGUACCUGCAGAAUAAGCACCGGCUAACUACGUGCCAGCAGCCGCGGUAAUACGUAGGGUGCAAGCGUUAAUCGGAAUUACUGGGCGUAAAGCGUGCGCAGGCGGUUCGGAAAGAAAGAUGUGAAAUCCCAGAGCUCAACUUUGGAACUGCAUUUUUAACUACCGGGCUAGAGUGUGUCAGAGGGAGGUGGAAUUCCGCGUGUAGCAGUGAAAUGAGUAGAUAUGCGGAGGAACACCGAUGGCGAAGGCAGCCUCCUGGGAUAACUCUGACGCUCAUGCACGAAAGCGUGGGGAGCAAACAGG
rnacentral:rRNA from 1 species